UUCAACUCCAGCCAGAGUGACUUCACUUCAACCAUCAACCGUCACUUUUCAAUCAUGAAUCUGACUGCAAUCUUCAACUCUGUACAAACAUCAUAUUCAAGUAGGUGGUGUGAGGACUGCUGCCCUGAGAACGCUGUGUCAGAGACACUUAGGCUGUGUGCAUUUUGGAAUGUUCCAAAUGUGUGUCACUUCCAUAAGGAAGAAGUUCCAAGCCUGCAAGUGAGUUCACUCACCAAAUAGAGACACACGCAUAUAGCAUUUAAUAUGUGUGCAUGUACUGUAUUUGUGUCUGUAACUGUUUAGUUUAUCCCCUCCUUUCAUGUGUCUGUUAUGACUUUGUGGGCUCAACUGUCAACAACUGUCCAGGGCGAAGUCGGUCUACUCUGAUGGCACUACCUGAUGGCACUGCCCUGAUGAUGUCUGUUAGCCAUGGCUGCUGCCCUCAACAUGGUGAGCCAUCCAGAAGUCCCAGCCUGGAGCCAGAGGCUGCUAUUGCAAGUCAGAUGGGAGAUGGCCUACAGUAUGUUAGGCAUCAGAAAAGUGGUGUUCGCAUGAAGGCAGAGUUGCCGCAGGCAAUUAUGAGAUUAGACACUUGACAUUUACUGCGAAAGGUACCAUCAGAGCACCUCUCCCUACCCUGCAGGAUACCUAUACCAGAAGAGUACAACAACGGCCCAAAAGUAUUUCAAAAGACAUUUCACGCUCUGACCACGGACUGUUUAAACCACGUCAAGCAGACGUCUCU